AACGAACGCUGGCGGCAUGCCUAACACAUGCAAGUCGAACGAGAUCUUCGGGUCUAGUGGCGCACGGGUGCGUAACGCGUGGGAAUCUGCCCUUUGGUUCGGAAUAACAGUUGGAAACGACUGCUAAUACCGGAUGAUGACGAAAGUCCAAAGAUUUAUCGCCAGAGGAUGAGCCCGCGUAGGAUUAGCUAGUUGGUGGGGUAAAGGCGCACCAAGGCGACGAUCCUUAGCUGGUCUGAGAGGAUGAUCAGCCACACUGGGACUGAGACACGGCCCAGACUCCUACGGGAGGCAGCAGUGGGGAAUAUUGGACAAUGGGCGAAAGCUUGAUCCAGCAAUGCCGCGUGAGUGAUGAAGGCCUUAGGGUUGUAAAGCUCUUUUACCCGGGGUGAUAAUGACAGUACCGGGAGAAUAAGCUCCGGCUAACUCCGUGCCAGCCGCCGCAGUAA
rnacentral:rRNA from 1 species